rnacentral:lncRNA from 1 species
AAAUUAGCUCCAGUGAGAAUCAGAACCCAUGCAGAUCUGCCAGCUGCAAAAUGUCUUACCUGCUGAGAUGCCGGGGUGCUGUCACACAGAAACACAGGGAUCCCCAGAGCCAGGGAACUCGUAAUAUCCUUGAAGCUUUGCCACUGGAAUGAAAGCUCUGCUAUUCCAUUUGGGCCAUGGUCACAGGUGUCCGUGCCAACCAGGCCAGGGGACUGGCCCAACAUGGUUAUGUUUAGGAGCACCUCUCCACCUGCCUUGCAUGUGGGCUUGGAUACGAGGGACUCAAGAGGACAAAGCUGCAAGUGACACCAACAUCAGAGCUCGGUUGUGACAAGUUUUGGGACUGGGCCAGUACACAAAACAACUGACUUCGCAUUUUCCAAGAUCACUCAAAACCAACAAAAAUGACACUCUGUCCGCUGAGAUGAACUCCAGGAGGACCACUUUUUUGCUGUGUAUCCUGAAAGGAGGCUCCCAGCCCUACCUGUGAGGUGGGAGGGAAGGAGACAUGGCAGAAACUACCCACAGCAGCUGGGUGGUCGCCAAAGGAAUCAAUGGGACGGCCAGUUACUGAGGAUGGUCCAGGAUUGAGGUACUACACUGGGGUUGUGAUUGUCCCUUCCAUGAUGACUUGGCAAACUCCAAGACAAAGCUUUCACUCCUGCUACAGGGAAUUCUCCCCCAGGAGGAGGAGCUGUCAUCCCCUCCCCAAUCCGUCCUCGCAGCGAGGGCAGAAUGGGAGCCCGGCCUCAGCCGGCCUCAAGGAAGUAAAAGUCAUGGAGAUUUUAUUCCACACCUGGCUCCGUGCUGGGCGCUUAGCUGGUUAUUUCUUAGACCUACUGACAACUCCAUGAAGAGGCGUCAGACAACAGAGACAAGGAGCAGUUGAGGGAGUGGCCCCAGGUCAGCCAGCUGGUGGACCAGGUAAUAUUGCAAGGAGUAUUAAUUCAAAUACUGCUCACAGAGGACACAAAGUGAGCAGAGGCAGGGAGAUGACAGGGACUUUGCAGACCCUAGGGCUGGUGCCAGCAGGCCUAAAGAGGGGAGUCCCAGAGCCCAGGAGGCGAGAGUUGUGUGGAGAGGGCCACCUGGAAAGGAGGCACAGCCAGCGCCCAGUGAUCCCCAAGGAAUAGAGUCCCUAAUCUCCCUCCCUCCCUCCAAUCUCCUGCCUGGGCUGCCCAUUGGCUAAACGGAAACAGAAGCCAGGGGACUGGGGAGAGCAGGCCCACCUCUGUGGGCAGAAAGGAAGGUAGAGGGAGGUGUGGAGAAGGCUCUGGAGCAGAGCAUGCAGCUACAGGAAAGAGCUCUGGGAUGAGGCCCCAGCUGGACAUGAGUGAUCCCUAUGAACGUGGGUAUGUGCCCUCCUCUUUACAGGCCUCAAUUUCCUUCUGCGUAACACGGAGAGGUUGAAAAAGUGCCUUCUAAGAGCCUUUUCCUAUUUAACAUGCUAUGAUCUUGACACCUCCGUAAUGUAGUAUGGCUACUCCCUUCUCAGCUUCUUGAGACUGGAUUUGGCUGCAAUUAACGGAUAACACAAAUAAAAGUGGCUUAAAGAGGAUAGGGAAGGAUGUUUCUCUUAUGCAAAAGAAGUCCAGCGGAGGGCAGUCCAAAACUGUUAGGGAAGCCCCUCGGAGACCCUCCUUACCGCCUUCUUUGGCAGGGGUUUUUCCCCUUGUGGUCACAGGAUGGCUCCUGGAGCUCCAGUCCUCAUGUCCCUGUUCCAGGAAGACAGAGGAGAAGGUCAAAGGGCAGAAGGGACUUUCCUAGAAGCCUCACCCAACAUCUUCCACAGAAUCUCUUUUGACACAACUGUGUCACAGG